AUAAAUCUCACUAUGUGUAAAUAACACACACGUAUCGACACCUACGCCGGGGUGCCUUGCUGGUUCGAAAGAGCCGAUGGGUCGGUUGUACGGGAUACGUGGAGGCUUAACC
rnacentral:sRNA from 1 species